GUGAGGCUUCAGUGCUGGAGAGCUCCGAGCGUUGUUGAGGGUUAACGGCGUUCCGGGCAUGCUCAGUAUGAGAAGCAGUGCAAGAGCGGUCAGGUGAGCCCCAGAGUGGACUGCUCAGCGGGAACUGAAGGCUGUGUCGAGACGGAGGAUGAAACAGCCUGCCCCUGUGAGGUGACUAAAGUAAAACACAAAAUUAGAAAGGAAGGAAAAACGAAAGGAGAGAUGUAGCAGAAUAAAACAGAAAGGAAAAAAUGGCCUAGAGAACAACUUGACACGUACCGACUAUUACAAAGCAGUGACCCAGUAAGCAAAUUUGUAUGCACUCCAAAACUGGAAGAUGCUUGGUGCUCACAACCCAAUGAAAAUGUAAAUAUUUGGAUGGAGUAGUCAUACAAAAGCUAAUGGAUUGUACAUGGACGGCUCAAGGUAUUCAGGAGAAAAGUAAAAUUUCAGUGACGCAGAACCUGAGAAGUGUGGCAUCAUUUCUGUGUUAUAAAGAUGCAUAUUUUGGCAAUGCAUACUGAACUAUACUACCUUACACUUGUAGGACUUUUGGGAUUUGUAGGAUGGGGUUGUCAUCAUUGUAGUAUGUAAUUUUUAAAGCAUGCUUUUUAGAAAAAUCCAUUGUAUAAUUUGUUUUCUCACUAAAUACUGGAAUGGUCUUCAGGGGUUCCCAACCUGUGAUCCUCCAGAUAUUGCUGAACUACAACUCCCAUCAUCCACAGCCACAAUCAUCCCACCAUCCACUGCCACAUCUAGCGGGCCACAGGUUGGGAACCCCUGGUCUGUAAAAUAAUUAUUUAUUACCCCCAUAACCUAAUUUCUUUAAUAUAACAAAUG